rnacentral:rRNA from 1 species
ACACGUAGGGGGCGAGCGUUGUCCGGAAUUACUGGGUGUAAAGGGCAUGUAGGCGGGGAUGCAAGUCGUCGGUAAAAACCCGCAGCUCAACUACGGGCUUGCCGGCGAAACUGUAUCUCUUGAGUGCAGGAGAGGGAAGUGGAAUUUCCGGAGUAGCGGUGAAAUGCGUAGAUACCGGAAAGAACACCAGUGGCGAAGGCGGCUUCCUAUUCUGCAACUGACGCUCAGAUGCGAAAGCUAGGGUAGCGAACGGGAUUAGAUACCCCGGUAGUCCUAGCUGUAAACGAUGGUCACUAGGUGUGGGUGGUGGUCAAGCCAUCCGUGCCGGAGUUAACGCAAUAAGUAUCCCGCCUGGGGAGUACGGCCGCAAGGCUGAA